rnacentral:tRNA from 1 species
AGUUACUUGGCUGAUAGGAAAGCAUGUGUUUUGAAAGCUCACUAUAGAGGUUCGAAUCCUCUAGUAACUU